GAUGAACGCUAGCUACAGGCUUAACACAUGCAAGUCGAGGGGUAACGAGAGGGAAGCUUGCUUUCCUUGUCGACGACCGGCGCACGGGUGAGUAACGCGUAUCCAACCUGCCCCCAACUAGGGAAUAACCUUGCGAAAGUAAGACUAAUACCCUAUAAUUUCCUCAGAUGUCAUCUGACGAGGAAUAAAGAUUUAUCGGUUGUGGAUGGGGAUGCGUCUGAUAGCUUGUUGGCGGGGUAACGGCCCACCAAGGCAACGAUCAGUAGGGGUUCUGAGAGGAAGGUCCCCCACAUUGGAACUGAGACACGGGCCAAACUCCUACGGGAGGCAGCAGUGAGGAGUAUUGGUCAAUGGGCGAAAGCCUGAACCAGCCAAGUAGCGUGCAGGAUGACGGCCCUAUGGGUUGUAAACUGCUUUUAUACAGGAAUAAAGUUAGCCACGUGUGGUUAUUUGUAGGUACUGUAUGAAUAAGGACCGGCUAAUUCCGUGCCAGCCGCCGCCGUAA
rnacentral:rRNA from 1 species